rnacentral:rRNA from 1 species
GAUGAACGCUGGCGGCGUGCCUAAUACAUGCAAGUCGAGCGAACAGACGAGGAGCUUGCUCCUCUGACGUUAGCGGCGGACGGGUGAGUAACACGUGGAUAACCUACCUAUAAGACUGGGAUAACUUCGGGAAACCGGAGCUAAUACCGGAUAAUAUAUUGAACCGCAUGGUUCAAUAGUGAAAGACGGUUUUGCUGUCACUUAUAGAUGGAUCCGCGCCGCAUUAGCUAGUUGGUAAGGUAACGGCUUACCAAGGCAACGAUCAGUAGCGGACCGGAGAGGAAGGUCAACAACAUUGGAACUGAGAAACGGGCCAAACUCGGAAGGGAGGCAGCAGUGAGGAAUAGGGGGAAAUGGGCGAGAGCCUGAACCAGCAAAGUAGAGUGCAGGAUGACGGCCCUAUGGGGUGUAAACUGCUUUUAUGCGGGGAUAAAGUGAGGGACGUGUCCUUCAUUGCAGGUACCGAAUGAAUAAGGAACGGCUAAUUCCGUG